GAUGAACGCUGGCGGCGUGCCUAAUACAUGCAAGUCGAGCGAACAGACGAGGAGCUUGCUCCUCUGACGUUAGCGGCGGACGGGUGAGUAACACGUGGAUAACCUACCUAUAAGACUGGGAUAACUUCGGGAAACCGGAGCUAAUACCGGAUAAUAUAUUGAACCGCAUGGUUCAAUAGUGAAAGACGGUUUUGCUGUCACUUAUAGAUGGAUCCGCGCCGCAUUAGCUAGUUGGUAAGGUAACGGCUUACCAAGGCAACGAUGCGUAGCCGACCUGAGAGGGGGAUGGCCCACACGGGAAGAGAGAACCGGUCAAGACACCUGGGGGAGGAACAGGAAGGAAAUCUCCCGAAAGGGGGAAAGGCCGGAGGGAGAAGGGCGGGGGGAUGGAGAAAGGUGUGGGAAUCGAAAAAUUUGGUUAGGGGAAAAAAAAAAAUGUAAAAGUAAUAAUACACGUUUGGAGGUUACAAAAUAAAAAAACCACGCAUAACAAGGGC
rnacentral:rRNA from 1 species